rnacentral:rRNA from 1 species
GGCUGAAACUCGCCUACAUGAAGCUGGAGUUACUAGUAAUCGCAGAUCAGAAUGCUGCGGUGAAUGCGUUUCCGGGUCUUGUACACACCGCCCGUCACACCACGGAAGUUGGGGGCGCCCGAAGCCACUUAGCUAACCCUUUUGGGAAGCGAGUGUCGAAGGUGAAAUCAAUAACUGGGGUGAAGUCGUAACAAGGUAGC